rnacentral:rRNA from 1 species
AUUGAACGCUGGCGGCACGCCUAACACAUGCAAGUCGAGCGGUAACAUGGUUAGUAGCAAUACUAACUGAUGACGAGCGGCGGACGGGUGAGUAACACGUAGGAACUUGCCCAGUAGUGGGGGACAACCAAGGGAAACUUUGGCUAAUACCGCAUAAAAUCGAGAGAUCAAAGAGGCUGCAAGGUGGCGCUAUUGGAGAGGCCCGCGUCUGAUUAGCUAGUUAGUGAGGUAAUAGCUUACCAAGGCGAGGAUCAGUACUGGUUUGAGAGGACGACCAGUCACACUGGGACUGAGACACGGCCCAGACUCCUACGGGAGGCAGCAGUGGGGAAUCUUGGACAAUGGGGGCAACCCUGAUCCAGCGGUGCCGCGUGAGUGAAGAAGGCCUUCGGGUCGUAAAGCUCUUUAGGCUGGGAAGAAGGUUGGUAGUUUAAGAGACAAUCAGCUUGACUGUACCAGCAGAAUAAGCACCGGCAAACUCUGUGCCAGCCGCCGCAGUAA